rnacentral:rRNA from 1 species
CUUUACUAUAUGCUGACAUUGAUGCAUCGGUUUGCGUGCGCAGGAUAGGUGGGAGUCUUUGAAGUCGUGGCUUCGGCUGCGAUGGAGACAUCCUUGAGAUACCACCCUCGCGUUCUGAUGUAUCUCACCCGAGUGACGACACGUCCUCGGAGACAGUGUUUGCUGGGUAGUUUAACUGGGGCGGUUGCCUCCUAAAGUGUAACGGAGGCGUGCAAAGGUCCACUAGCGCCGGAUGGAAAUCGGCGUAGUCGUAUAAUCGCAAAAGUGGGCCUAACUGUGAGACUUACAGGUCGAGCAGAGACGAAAGUCGGUGAUAGUGAUCCGGUACCCGAGGAAUUUAUCUUCCUCUAACCACGUGGGUGGGGUA